CUCUCAAAAUGCAGGUUGACUCGGUGGUCGCACUGUUCAUUUCCCUGUAUGAAUAGAAUUAAUAGUAGUGUAGUGUUGAGAAAGUGGUUAUGAUGACAUCGAUCCCGUGAUGUGCGAGUGGGAGAUGUUGGCAUUCGGUUAAAUAGAAUCAGGUACUCCCAUAAUCGGGCUCGAUUCGACGGUUAUUACGUUGUCUAAGUGGAUUAGAAUUAAUCUCGCUUUUAAAAUUGGAAAGCUAAUUAGAGAUAAAUUCUAACCAUAUUAGGAUAAUAAUUAUAAACCGAAUUGGCCUUAUCUCUUACGUACCUAUUAGGAUUUUGAAAUCCCUUAUAAAUAUACGGGCUAUCUCUUAUAAGAGAAACAACAAGAAAACCAA
rnacentral:lncRNA from 1 species